rnacentral:rRNA from 1 species
GACGAACGCUGGCGGCGUGCCUAAUACAUGCAAGUCGAACGCUGAAGGAGGAGCUUGCUUCUCUGGAUGAGUUGCGAACGGGUGAGUAACGCGUAGGUAACCUGCCUGGUAGCGGGGGAUAACUAUUGGAAACGAUAGCUAAUACCGCAUAAGAGUAGAUGUUGCAUGACAUUUGCUUAAAAGGUGCAAUUGCAUCACUACCAGAUGGACCUGCGUUGUAUUAGCUAGUUGGUGAGGUAACGGCUCACCAAGGCGACGAUACAUAGCCGACCUGAGAGGGUGAUCGGCCACACUGGAACUGAGACACGGCCAAGACUCCUACGGGAGGCAGCAGGGGGGAAUAUUGGAAAAUGGGCGGAAGCCUGACCGAGCAACGCCGCGUGGGUGAAGAAGGUUUUCGGGUUGUAAAGCCCUUUUGUAGGGAAAGAAAAGGAGUAGGGUAAUAAACUGCUGUUUGGAAGGUAACCAAACAAUAAGCACCGGCUAACUUCGUG